rnacentral:rRNA from 1 species
UACAGAGGGGGCAAGCGUUAUUCGGAAUUAUUGGGCGUAAAGGGCGCGUAGGCGGCCUGGCAAGUGGAUGGUGAAAUCCCUCGGCUUAACCGAGGAACUGCCAUCCAGACUACUUGGCUUGAGACCGGGAGAGGUGAGUGGAAUUCCCAGUGUAGCGGUGAAAUGCGUAGAUAUUGGGAGGAACACCAGUGGCGAAGGCGGCUCACUGGACCGGUACUGACGCUGAGGCGCGAAAGCGUGGGGAGCAAACGGG